CAGAUGAUGUAUUUCUGUUGCUGCUACAACAACAAAUACUAAAAAGUACAGAAUCCGUGGGCGAGUCCGACUCGCACUUAUCCGGUUUUUUUAUUUUUUUUAUUUUACUAACUAGAUGUGUUAGCAGAGUUCAAAUCAUGCUAGCACUGUCUAAUUAAAUGUAACCUAAGUGAUAACGCUAUUGGACCAUUAAAAUGGUUUGAUACUGAAAACUGUAAUGGCCAAAACAACUAUGUAAUAAAAUAUUUUGGUUGCAUUUACUAUGUCUAUUUAGGCUAAUCAUUCAACUCUAAAGUCUUAGGAAGGUUUUAGAGUUCCAGAGGCCCUACUAUCUGUAUGAAAAGCUAAAAUGGGUCAAGGACUCACGCACCAGGCCAUUGAGAAGCUGCACCAAACUUGUCGUACCCAAGCAUGAAACAGCAUUCUUCAGAGGGAGUUUCAAAUUUGCUGCUGCUAAAGUCUGGAAUGACCUGCCACCACCACUCCAAGUGCAGAGGAGGGGUCACUCUUGCUUGCCGGGGAUGUGCUGAGAUGCAUCCUGGUGGUGCCCACUUGCCUGCGAUGUACACUGAGCAGGUCCAUGUACCAGCUACUCACACUUUCCAUAGACUUGCAAGAAAAAAAUAAAAGUCAACAUGCCACUGCCAGCAAAUUUAUGAGGUAAAUUAUCAGUAAAAUAAAAACUUUUAUAUUAAAGGAAAAAUUGAAAAAUUUACACCUCCAGCAAGACUCAAAAUUGCGACUAUUGGAACACCUCGGACGGUUCUGCCAACUGAGCUAUGGUGGCUUACCAGAUGUGUGCCAAUUUUUCCAUUCCUUUGCUUAUAAAGUUUAGGGUGGCGUAUACCAACAUCUCUUGUCUAUAUUUACAGGCACUGGACCGGAGUCUCAAGUUAUAUUGAGAAUUCGCAAGUAACAAUGUGCUAACCCAAACUAAACAAACUUUUAUCAUUUUUACUUUAAUAUAAAAUUUUUAGUAUCACUCACAGACAUAUGUUCUUGGUAAAAAAUUAAAUUAUUAGUUUUAUGAAUUGCGCUAAGCUUGCUUAUUUAUUUAAUAAAUAAAUAUUAUAGGACAAAUUGUACAUAGAUCAACCAAGUCCUAUAAAGCUUUUGUUGUGGGUACUAGACAGCAAUACAUAUAAUAUACAUAUAGUUAUAUAUAAAUACUUAUAAUAAUAUAAUAAUUUAUUUAUUGCAAGUAAGUUACACUCAUAAUGUGGUUAGUAAAACUUAAUUCUAAAUUAUGUAUUAGUAUUUUUUUAAACCUAGGGAUACAUCUAUAUCUAUAAACUAUUUUUGUUGUCAGCUGAGUACGGCACAUGUAGCCGACUGCAGCAUAGUAAAUAGGGGGAGUCCAGCCUGUCCCCUAUCAUCUUCAUGAUGAUGUUGGGGCUGGCGCGCACCCGGCGCACCAGGGAUGCGGCCCUCUUACGGAUAGUGGCAUAGAAACAAUCGACCCUGGCUUCAGCGAACAUCCCUGAUGCGCUACAGAAGCGCGGCAGCCCCAUCAACACCCGGAACGCGUUAUUAUACUGGACGCGGAGGGCUUCGUAGGCCCGUUUCGUAUAUGAAAGCCACAAAGUGCACGAGUACAGUGAGGUGCAGUAAGCUCUAAAGAGUGUCACUUUCACCUUCCUGGUACAGCGCACAAAUUUGCGAGCAAUCAUAUUCGCCCGGGCCGACAGGGCCCUCCUUUCUCUCUCUAUGUCUUUAUCAUCUUUGAGGUCUGCCGUGACUAUGUGCCCAAGAUAUUUAAACAUGUCCACCCUUUCGAGGUCUGCCCCGUUUAGUUUGAUGGGUGUCACUUCGGCUGUUCUGCCACGGCCGACCUCAAAGACCAUAUAUUUACUUUUAUUUACGUUAUAUUUUAAGCCGCGAGUCUCUGCAUAUGUUUCACACACCUCCAGCAGCCUACGUAUGCCACCAACCGAUGCGCUUAGCAGAACCAUAUUGUCUGCAUAACUAAUAUUAUUAAGGCAGACACCAUCAAUAUGACAUCCGAUAUGCAAUCUGCCAAGCGCAUCUAGCAGUUCGUUCAUGUAGAGGUUAAAUAGAGUGGGUGAGCUCAACCCCCCCUGCCUCACCCCACACUCCAACCUAUAAGGGUCAGAGAGCGCAUCCGCCCAUCUAACGCAGUUGACUUGGUUUCCAUACCAGUACCUGAAAAUGCUGAUUAGUCCAGAUGGAAGUUUAAUGUCUUCAAGUUUCUUCCAUAAAAUCUUAUAGGAAACCAAGUCAAAAGCCUUAGAUAGGUCAAGGAAGCAGGCAUAUACAGGGGAAUUUUUAUCUACGUAAUAUACCGGGUGUGUCCUGUAAUACAACAAAAAAUUUAAAAUUAAACUUCAAACUAGCCAACAUUUUUUCAGCGACUUUUAAAAAUGAAAAUAAUUUGUAUUUUAAAUUUUAGCACACCUUACUUCAGGAAGAAAUAUUUGUGAAAUAAAUACCCUCACCUUUUUCACCACACCAGCUGGUAAAGGCUCUCUUGAUUGUUCAAAACUGAUAUGAAAGUUGCAUUUUAUUCACAUGUGAGGCAAAGUAAUCAAAUGCAGAUUUUGAGUUGUUCUCUUAUAUUUGCUGGUAGAAUUGACAUUUUGAAUCGAUUUGCUUUGGUUUUGUUUGAUAUCUUACAGUUCGUAUUUUCCUUGUGUUGGUGUGGUGAAAAAAUUUGUGUUUCACUCAGUGUCAAAAUUUGUUUAACCCUCGUGCCUGGGAACCCUCGCAACGCUCAAGAUUCUUAUGAGCAUGCAUGCUUUAGUUUUAGUUUAGUAUUCAUUUCGUUUAAGAUAAAAUGUAGAUUUUUGACAAUGCAAAAGCGAUCCAACAGAUCCUACUUGAAUAAAUUGGUUUUUAUCUUUAUCUUAUACCAUUUUUCCAACCACUCGCUUUGCUCGUAGUGGUCGUGGAAUCCUUCGCUUGCUCGGGUAUCAAUAUUAGCACGAGAGUUAAACAACAACUUUGCCCGCUUGUAAAACAAAUAACUAUUAUAAAGUAUGUAAUGUUUUAUGAGUGUACCUAUAUGUAUUUCUUUAGAGCCUAACCCAAAUAUCUUGUUAUUUCCUAGGUAUUUAAGUACGGUAGUACUAUUAGUUAUUCUGUGAUAUAAGCAAGGGGGUGUCACUUCGCAGUUUAGGUACAUUUGGCCGGCGCGCCUCCCGGGCAGGCGUAUGGCAAUGGGCUGCCGCUCGACUCGCGCAAAAUUUAAAAUACAUAAUGCCUUCGAAACCUAAAUUUAUAGCGGAGUCUUAGUAAUAGGGCACCGUUUUUGCUCUUUGGGUAUGGAACCCUAAUAAAAACAUCAUUCUGUUUUUAUUUUUACCCCUGACUGUACAAAGAAUGACAUGUAUGUAUGUUUACGGUGAGUGGAUUUUUGUGUGUUAGUACUAAACAUUUUGUUUAGAAACACUGCUUCAGAAACAGCAAUCCACAUGUUGCUGAAACACAGAAAUAGUUGCGGUAAACACUACAUAAUUGUUUAUCGCCAUGGUCAUUGUACCUCAGACUAAAGACCUAUAUAACCCCGUAUAAGAUGAAUAAAGUAAGGAAAAAACGUGCCUCGGAAAUCAUGAAUUUUAACACAUAUCAGUGAAAGAACAUGGGUCAAAAUCAUAAAAAUAAUAAAUACAAAUAAAAAAAUAAUUUAUCCAUUAUACAUAUAUAUAUAAUUUUUUUGAUAUUUUUAGUUUUAAUCGUGUGUCGAUAGAUGGCAGUAAAUUUACUGUGACUACGAAAUUUACUUCCCUCUAUCCUAUGCGACUGGCGAGAAACUGCACAGGACCGGGAUCAGUGGCGAACUGUCGUGUUGGAGGCCAAGACACACUUUGGGUCGCUGCGCCAGAGGAGUAAGUAAGUCUAUCCUAUGCAUUCUCUUUGCUCAGACCGUCCACACUAUGUGAGCUGAAACAUUGUUUCUGUUAAUAUCUGCAUAGUGUUUCAGAAACAAUGUUUCAAAUAUUGUUUAUAGUGAAUGCUCGGCUUAAGUCUCCAAAAUAAUCAGUUUUGAUUACUUUUCCUGAACAGGAUUUGUGGAACAGCAAAAAAACUUUCUAUAAGAGGAAGAUGUUUUAAUUUUGCAUCAGUGUCUGUUGUAAAGUAACUUUGUUACAAGCUUUUAUUAUUGUAUAACUUGCAGUAUACUCGUAUGUAUGUUCAGGUCAAAUCUUGCAUGCAAAAUUAGACCCAAUUUCUAAUUUCUUUUCUAUUAUUACAUAAAGCUAAAAAUUCACAUACACAAGUAAGUUGGGUGACAAUGCAUUAUUAUGGUAGUAUCAAGAUGAUCUAAUGAUGGACUAAAGGUGGCCAUUGGAACUCUGUGAUAAAACAAUGAAAUCUAAUUGUGCCUCGAUUUGGUAGAAUUGUAUUGAUGAGUAUUACUUGCCUGUUGAAAGAAACGUACAGUCAGCAAUAAAAGCUUGUAUUGAAAAUGAAAUUUUUGACAAAAAAAAACCCGGCCCUCUGAACCCUAAAAAUGAUUAUAAGUUGAAUUAAAUAUGAAACUAACCUGAUUUCAGACAAUGAUGGCUGUCAUCCAGCAAAAUGUGGAUCGCCGGAUGUCUUGUGGUCGCCUGGGAAAAAGACUAACACUAUUGAGUCAGUCUGCUACACACCUGUAAUGUGACACAAGACAACGUGAUGGGCUGAUGGAUGUCGUCCAGCAAUGGUAGUCGGGAGCCACCUCUUGCCACAUGAGCCGAUGUUGCAGACUCCCGAUGGAGGCCGAGUCCUAGCAGCGGACACAUGGACGGACAUUAUGGACAAGGU